rnacentral:rRNA from 1 species
AGCAGCCGCGGUAAUUCCAGCUCCAAUAGCGUAUAUUAAAGUUGUUGCAGUUAAAAAGCUCGUAGUUGAAUUUCGGGAUCAAUAUGUUGGUCGUGCCUUGGUACGUACUGGCAUUAUCGAUUCCUACCUUCUGAAGAACCUCGAUGUCAUUAAUUUGGUGUCUUGGGGAAUCAGGACUGUUACUUUGAAAAAAUUAGAGUGUUUAAAGCAGGCUCGCGCUUGAAUACAUUAGCAUGGAAUAAUGAAAUAGGACGUUUGAUUCUAUUUUGUUGGUUUCUAGGAUCGACGUAAUGAUUAAUAGGGAUAGUUGGGGGCAUUAGUAUUCAAUUGUCAGAGGUGAAAUUCUUGGAUUUAUUGAAGACUAACUACUGCGAAAGCAUUUGCCAAGGAUGUUUUCAUUAAUCAAGAACGAAAGUUAGGGGAUCGAAGACGAUCAGAUACCAUCGUAGUCUUAACCAUAAACUAUG